UUUGAUUAUAAUUUAAAGUCUGACCUGCCCAAUGAGGAGUUAAAUGGCCGCGGUAAUUUGACCGUGCAAAGGUAGCAUAAUCAUUAGUUUUUUAAUUGAAAGCUGGUAUGAAUGGUUGGACGAGAGAGCAACUGUCUCAAUUUAAUUGAUUUAAAAUUUUAUCUUUAAGUUAAAAAGCUUAAAUAAAUUUAAAAGACGAGAAGACCCUAUAGAGUUUUAUAUAUAUGUAUAUAUGAAGAGUUUAGAAUUUAUUAUUUAUAGAUUUAUAUGUAUUUUGUUGGGGUGACAAAAAAAUUAAAUGAACUUUUUUUAUAUUUUAUCAUUAAUGUAUGAUUAAGUGAUCCGUUAUUAACGAUUAAAAGAUUAAAUUACCUUAGGGAUAACAGCGUAAUUCUUUUUAAGAGUUCUUAUCGAAAGAAGAGUUUGCGACCUCGAUGUUGGAUUAAAAUUUAUUUUUGGUGUAGAAGCUAAAAUAUUAGGUCUGUUCGACCUUUGAAAUU
rnacentral:rRNA from 1 species